CCUAUUUGAAUUAUUUAUUAUUAUAGGAUAUUUAUAUAACGCAAAUAUCCAUGCUCUAGUGCAUGCUCAAGCGCUGGUAUGUUUUCCCCUCGAUCAUUGGAUGUCAAUCUCAACGGAGCAUCGUAUUAUCAAUCUCAACUCCCUGGGGAGUAUACAACUCUUGCUGCCACUAGGCGCACCGAGGCUUUCUCAUCCUAACGAGGUACCCAUUCACAGCUGGAUGGACUGGGACACGUUCACUGCACGUUGCUGUACCCGCAACUAGGUGUUUGCACGUAUUCA
rnacentral:lncRNA from 1 species